rnacentral:rRNA from 1 species
ACGGAGGGUGCAAGCGUUAUCCGGAAUCACUGGGUUUAAAGGGUGCGUAGGCGGCGCUAUAAGUCAGAGGUGAAAGGCCACCGCUUAACGGUGGGACUGCCUUUGAUACUGUAGUGCUUGAAUCAGGCUGAGGUCGGCGGAAUGUGACAUGUAGCGGUGAAAUGCUUAGAUAUGUCAUAGAACACCAAUUGCGAAGGGCAGCUGACUAGACCUUUGAUUUGACGCUGAGGGCACGAAAAAGCGUGGGGGGGAGCGAACAGGGAUUUAGAUACCCCCCCCGGGGUAGUCCC